rnacentral:misc_RNA from 1 species
GAUGAAGAACGUAGCGAAAUGCGAUAAGUAAUGUGAAUUGCAGAAUUCAGUGAAUCAUCGAAUCUUUGAACGCACAUUGCGCCCGCCAGCAUUCUGGCGGGCAUGCCUGUCCGAGCGUCAUUUCAACCCUCAGGGUCCCUCCGCCUCGCGCGGUCGGAGCCUGGUGUUGGGGAUCGGCCCGCCCCGCGCGGCGCCGUCCCCCAAAUACAGUGGCGGUCCCGCCGCAGCCUCCCCUGCGCAGUAGUUAUCAACUCGCACUGGAGCGCGGCGCGGCCACGCCGUAAAACCCCCGACUUCUGAAUGUUGACCUCGAAUCAGGUAGGAAUACCCGCUGAACUUAAGCAUAUCAAUAAGCGGAGGA